AUACUUCAAGAUCGUAUACUCCAAAAAUCGCAAAAAUAAAUAUUCAGAGAUCUAGUAACGGGAUAAAACUUUUCGAUAGUUAUAAAUGAAAAAUCACGAUUUAACGGUUAUUUUAACUCCGAUUUUGAUGAUUUUUUACAGCUACACUCCUUGACCCUAUAUGAAUACAAUGAUUGAAUUUGAUCUUCAAUUUAAAACAUUUGCACUAGUGGAUACCACAAAAUCUUAUGUUAUAUUUAACGAAAGUAUAAAUAAACUCUUAAUUGUUAGUGAAUAUAUUGGUUUGAUGGCAUAUGCAUUCUACGAAACUAGUUUCAACGAUCCAACCGUCAAACUUGUUUUUUUAUACUUCGAGAUCAUAUACGCCAAAAAUCGAAAAAAAUAAACAUUCAUAGAUCAAGUAACGGGAC
rnacentral:lncRNA from 1 species